rnacentral:tRNA from 1 species
AUUCGAAUAGUUUAUUUAGAAUAACAAUCUGUGGAGUUGUAGGUGUAAUUAAUUACUUCGAGUC